rnacentral:rRNA from 1 species
AUUGAACGCUGGCGGCAGGCCUAACACAUGCAAGUCGAGCGAGCGGCGGACGUGAGAGUAAUGUAUGGGGCUCUGGCCGAUAGAUAACGAUAACUACCUGAAACGGUGGCUAAUACCGCAUACUAUAGGAUGAACCCAUAUGGGUUUAGCUAGUAGGUAGGGUAAAGGCUCACCGAGGCGACGAUCUCUAGCUGGUCUGAGAGGAUGAUCAGCCACACUGGGACUGAGACACGGCCCAGACUCCUACGGGAGGCAGCAGUGGGGAAUAUUGCACAAUGGGCGCAAGCCUGAUGCAGCCAUGCCGCGUGUAUGAAGAAGGCCUUAGGGUUGUAAAGUACUUUCAGCGGGGAGGCGUUACCCGCAGAAGAAGCACCGGCUAACUCCGUGCCAGCCGCCGCGGUAAUUC